ACAGCAGCAGCGCGGGAAUACGAAGGGUGCAAGCGUUAAUCGGAAUUACUGGGCGUAAAGCGUGCGCAGGCGGUGAGUUAAGUCUGUUGUGAAAUCCCCGGGCUCAACCUGGGAAUGGCAGUGGAUACUGGCUCGCUAGAGUGUGUCAGAGGAUGGUGGAAUUCCCGGUGUAGCGGUGAAAUGCGUAGAGAUGUGGAGGAACACCGAUGGCGAAGGCAGCCCCCUGGGCAAAUACUGACGCUCAUGCACGAGAGCGUGGGGAGCAAACAGGAUUAGAUACCCCAGUAGUCCCUGUCUCUUAUACA
rnacentral:rRNA from 1 species